UACGUAGGGUGCAAGCGUUGUCCGGAAUUAUUGGGCGUAAAGAGCUCGUAGGCGGCUCGUUGCGUCGGCUGUGAAAACCCGCAGCUCAACUGUGGGCUUGCAGCUGAUACGGGCGGGCUGGAGUUCGGUAGGGGAGACUGGAAUUCCUGGUGUAGCGGUGAAAUGCGCAGAUAUCAGGAGGAACACCGGUGGCGAAGGCGGCAUCCUGGACCAACACUGACGCUGAGUGAGCGAAAGCCAGGGGAGCAAACGGG
rnacentral:rRNA from 1 species